rnacentral:lncRNA from 1 species
GUAAAUAUGCAGGUGUUUCGUAAUGCCCUCUGCUGUUCAAGAGGUGAAAUACAACAGAUUGGUGGGCAUUAACCAAAAUGUGCAUUAACCACAGGCCCUUCAUGGACUUCCUCUCUCAGAAUGCAAAAAAUACUCCUUGAUUCAACAGGGGCUUGUAUAAGACAGAGCCGGAAACAUAAGGAAGGAAAUGCAAAACCAGAGAGAUAAAGUUCAGCCUUAUGCAAGAGAAAGACUUAAAUGCCCGUGUCAGUCCAUGUUCAUCCCCAAGGCUCCAGGUCCAAUCACGUCGGGCCCCCUCAAUCCCCGGGCCUCAGGCUUCAGCUCCACCUAGCCUUUAGAUUAAUCCUGCCCUGAUCCUUCUGUGUAAUUAUGUAAGAGAUUCACAUCAUUAUUUUUACUUUUGGUUUUGCUGUAAUGAUUCAACACAUCUAUAAAAAAUACUUCCACACUGAUUCUGUGUAAUAUACUGGUAAUGCAGUAAUCUGAGCCCAUUUUCCUCCAUAUGAGAUUUCAGGAUAUGAGUUGAGAAAUCACUACAAGAAAAAUAAGACCACUUCCUUCUAUCUCGUUCCGCAGAAUGUAACAUAUACGAAAAAAAAAAAAAGACAAGGAAAUAUGGACAAUGAAGUUGGGGGGAAAAGGAAAGACAGAGGCAAGGGUCGGAUAUAAAGAGGCUUGAUUCUAAAAUGUAUGUUUGUUUUAAAACUGGUUUGCCUUGUGAAGACUCAUUUCCAUGAACACAGAGGACGAAUAGGAUCUGACUCAUCCUGACAGGUCUUCAUCAACAUCAGAUCAUUUUGGAAUACAGAUCAGGUAUUUUAUUUAAAACAGUAAGGUCUUGCUUAGUUUUUCUAUUGUUACUUUUUUAUAUAUUAUUAAUUUAUAUUAAAUGUUAGCUGAUGUUGCGGUAUGUAAGACAUAAACUUUUACCAAAAAAAAAAAAAACACAUAUGAUAUGUAAGACAGCGGAUAUUGCUUAAGUUAGAAGAUGUGUAAGGAACAUGGACUUGUAAUUGUUCUAUGGGUUGUGAUUAAUAGCAGCAUCAUAAUUAAAGUUAAUUAAAUUGCAUUUACUGUAAACUUUGUUUAGUAAGUGUGUGUAUUUGUAUUAGACCGGUUUGUUGAGGCUCGAUUGUACAUGGAAUCUUAAAAUUUAUCAAACUUAUUUUUCGAUUAUUAAAUAUGCACUGCUAAGAACUUCAUUUGGACAGAUUUAAAGGCGAUUUUCACAAUAUUUUUUUUGCACCCUCAGAUUCCAGAUAAUCAAAUAGUUGUAUCUCAGCCAAAUAUUGUCCUAUCCUAACAAACCAUACAACAACGGGAAGCUUUACUUAUUUCAGCUUUCUCACCCUUAUGACCCCUUAUGACUGGUUUUGUAGUUCAAGGUCAUAUAUAUAUAUACAUAUAUAUAUAUAUAUAUAUAUAUAUAUAUAUAUAUAUAUAUAUAUAACUGUAAAAUUGUGAGGAAGAGCUGAGCAAGUCUUGCACAUGUAUUUCCUGGUCUGAGAGUGACUUCCUGCUUAAAACAUGAAGUAAUGGAUACCAAAAAAAAAGGUAGAAAUAUAUGUAUGUAAAAGGAAGAAUGCAUGUGUGUGAAAGACAAAAAAAUAGUAUGUAUGUGUAAGGAGAAUGUAUGUGUGUGAGAGAGUAGAAAUGCAUGUAAGUGAAAGGAGAAUGUAUGUGUGUGAGAGUACUUAUGUAUGUAAAAGGAGAAUGUUUGUGUGUGAAAGCAAGAAUAUAAGUAUGUGAACGGAGAAUGUAUGUGUGUGAUAGUAGAAAUGUAUGUAUGUGAAAGGAGAAUGUAAGUGUGUGAGAGUGCCAGAAUGAAUUAUGGCUUGUACGGCCCCUCAUAUGUUUCAUUUUAAUUUUAGUAAGAUUUAGUAAUUUUGUAUAAUUUUUAUUGAUAUUUUUAUGUCAGUAUAGUUUAUUAAUUUUAUCAUAUUUUAUCAGAUUUGUUUUUCAUUAUUUUACAUCAAGUUAAAUGAAAAUGAGAAAUGGUGCUUGUAUGUAUGUAUACUAUUUAUUUAUUUAUUUAUUUAUAUUUAUUUCAGUUAAUACCUGUUUUAUUUCAAACAAAAAAAUUAUUUCAGGUAACAUAAGGUUUUUAUGCUUUUAGGUUUAGGUUCUAUAAUAACCUUGCUACUACAACAUUCAUGCAUUUGGUUGGUUCAGAUCUUCAGUUGUUUUGGGUCCUAGUUUUGUGUGAAUAGUGACUGUUUCUAUUCGAUCCUGUUUUAUCUGUUCAGUUGCACGUGGCUUCAUACGUUGAGAAUUCAUUAUGUGUGUACACCAUUAACAUCUCAGCUAUUUCCUGAUAACGUUCCUGGUAAAACCUGUUCAUGGUUCCAGGAGGAACAACUGCUGUAGAAAUUCUUGAAACAGUGUGUUAUUUGACUGGACAUGCAUUUAUUGAAGUCAAAGGUUAACCAUGUAACCCCUUGUAGCUUCACGAGUCUUGACAACAGCUUAUCCGCAAAUUACCCUCUUAGCUGAUUAUCCUUCAGGUUCACAGACACUAUUCAUCAAAGGCAUUUAAAUCACUGCAUUCAGAAAGAAUGGAUGCAUUUUAUUUAGCUUUUUGUUCUGCUUAAUAUUAAUAUACGCUAGCAUUCAAAACUUUGGGGUCAGUAAGAUUAAGGUCUGAUCAUGUGACACUGAGGGCUGCUGAAAAAAAUUCAGCUUUACCAUGCAGAAAUAAAUUACAUUUUAAAAUUAUGAAAAGAGAAAAUGGUUGUUUUUUACAAUAUUACUGUAUUUUUUUAUUAAAUGCAGCCUUGGUGAGCAAGAUUUUUUUCAAAACAUCAAAAAUGUUACUGAACCAAAACUUUUAAGUGGUUGUGUGUAUUUUAAAUUAAUGUAAAACUACAGAUGCUGUACCACUGCACUUCCUCUCGAAAGGAAUAAUUAAUGCAGAUAUAUGAUCUCUCAUCUGUGGAGAGGGACAUCAGUACUGGUUGUUAAUGUAGCGGUUGAUCCAGUUUAGACAGUGAGGCUGAUGUUACCAUGGCACCCUGUCCUCAGAACAUGUCUUUGUGUGUGAAAGAUAAAACAUUAGCGGACCGCUCGAACUGACCGUGUCUUUUAUUCUAUGUCAGAGUCAUUUAAAAAUAAGCAGCUGAUUAUUUCUAAGCUUUUAGUUCCAUUUUGUGUUCCAGCAGUGCCUCUAAGGCAGUACUGCUCAUCUUUUGUGACUAGGCUUGUUUGUACUAAUUAACGUACCAGAGUCAUUUAAAAUAAGCAGUCUGAUUAUUCUAAGCUUUUAGUUUCAUUUGUGUUCCAGCAGUGCCUCUAAGGCAGUACUGCUCAUCUUUUGUGACUAGGCUUGUUUAGUACAAUUAACGUACAUAAAAAAAAAAAAAAAAAAUAACAUUUGUUUUUGGAUUCAAUUCAGUUUAUCCAUCUGAGCGGACACGAGGUUGUCACAGCUCCCUGUGUAAUACUGCUGUUUACUUCU